rnacentral:rRNA from 1 species
CCUGGUGGUAUUUGCGAGGGGCCUGAACCCGAUCCCAUUCCGAACUCGGCCGUUAAACUCCUCUGCGCCAAUGAUACUAAGUCCUAAGGCUUGGGAAAGUAGGUCGCUGCCAGGC